rnacentral:lncRNA from 1 species
CUUCUUCUUCACCAUCAAGAUGAUGAUUGGGUUGUUGAGAAUGUUGAUUUUGUUGUUUGGAUUGUUGAAAAAACUCAGAAUCAGGUGGUGAUGGUGGAUAAAAAAUUUCCCAAUUCCAAGCUGAAGAAGCUUGUGAAGGUGUUCUUUCAAAAGAUGAAGAAAUUGAUGAAAGUGGUGGCAAUUUAGUAAAUCUUUCAUCAUCAUGAGAAGAUUUAUAACGAGGAAUUGGUGUAGAAGAUAAACUUGAUUCAAAUAAAAUAUGUGGAAGUUUAGAACUUCUAAUAGUAGGAGAAGAAGAAGGUGAAGAAGAAGAAAACUGAGGUGGAAGUGGUGGUGGUUUAAGUGAAGGUGAAGUAACAGAAGAAUCAUGAUAAAGGUUUGAUCUUUGAUGAUGAUGUUGUUGUUGUAAUGGAAUUUGAUCAGAAUGAGUUCUAAAAGAAGAAGAAGAAGUAGUAUUAUUAUUGUUAUUAUGAAGCAGAAUAGGUGGAGUUUGAUCAGAAACAGAAAGAGAUUCACCAGAAGAAAAAUCAAGUAAAGCAGAACCAGUUAAACGUAAUGAACUGAUCUCUAAAACUUUUUCUGACAGAUUUGUGUAUUCUUCCAUUUUCAGGAACAAGAAUAGAAUAAGCCCAGUUGUUAACUUGGUUCCAUGGACUAAAGGCCCAAUAAAAAGCCCAGGACCGACUUUCGGACCGAAACCGGACCGAUUGUAUUUGGUCCGGUUCGGUCCGGUUUCAUUCAAAAAAUUUCGGUCCAUGGAACCGAAACCGAACCGAUACUUUCAAGUCGGUUUGGUCCCGGUCCUAUUACAUUUUAGGACCGGACCGGACCGUGCCCACCCCUAAGAGAGAGUAAUAGAAUUUGAGUCAGAUUUGGUAAUUCGAUUAAAGUAAAAUUAAUUCAGCUUAAUUACCACAAUUGUCCCUUGGUUUUGAUUAAUUUACGAUUGUAUCCCUAUUCUUUAAUUAAUACAAUAAUACUGGUGCUUUAUAUAAACUUGCUCUAUUGUCAGACUUUAUUCAGAGAUCUUAGCAAUGGAGGGAUCAAUGCGUUCACUUCCACCUACAUAUGCACCAUCUUUAGUCUUCUGUCAUGGUAGGAAAUAUCGCGACCAAACUUUCUGUAUGCUAUCUGAUGAAUCUUAUCAUGCUAGAAGUGUUCUAGAGAUGCGUAGUAUGUAUUGUGUUGGAUUAGGGAUGUAAAAAAACCUGUGGAGGCGGGUUCCCGUGGAGAACCGACCCGAAUGGGGCGGAUAUGGAGGGGUAUAUAUGGGGAUCGGGUGGGUAUGGAGGUCAUUUUGAAACCCGAUUAAGUUUUGGAGCGGGGACGAAUAUUAUGGUCUCCAAACCUGGACCCGACCCGUUUAUAUAUUUAAAUUUAAAAAUUAACUAAUAUAGACUAUAAUUUGACAAUGUAAUUUUCGAUUUUUUUUUUGUUAGACUUUGUGGCUGCUUGUUCAAGAUUUCAAGCUUGUAUUUUGUUUGGAUUAAAUUUAGUUGAAGGUUUUAACUUGAAAUUGUAAUUUAAGAUAUUAUUAUGAUAAUUUAAAUUUAUGAAUAGUCAUUAUUAUUAUUAUUAUUAUUAUUAUUAUUUGAUUAUCUAAAACUAUAAAUGGAGCCCUGCGGAGAACCGAUCCCCAUUGGAGGUGGGGAUGGGGAUCCCCGAAUAGUCUUAAACGAAGAAAUGGACGAGGAUGGAGACUAAAAAAUUAAAUGGGGAUGGGGACGGAGAUAGGGGUACCCGGCCCCGAACCAACCCGUGAACAUCCCUACGUUGGAUCAUGUUAUGGUUGGUUGAUAUUGCAGAGUUAUUUUGAUUUAUGUAAGUGUUAUCUUUUUAAUCCUGUCACCUUAUGUAAGAUUUAUUUGCCGCGCAUAAUACAUGGUUAUGUUGAUAUUGGUGUUCUAACAUCUUCUCCUACCGAUCCUAACUGUGUUAUAAUAUUUCACCAGAAGAAAAAAUUAUGUAUAUUUUGUCGAAUUGGAGAUACAAUUUGGAUUGAAAAACAGUUGGCACAUGAUAAGAAAAGCCGCAAACUUUUAUCAGAUUACUUCUAUGAAGCCAUUAGUUGUCAAGGAAAGGUAUACCUAUUUUAUUUCAGUGGAAUGGCUGUUAUUGAUGUUUACGAGUCUUCUAUGAAGCCAUGAGUCCUUCGCUUCUGUAAAGCUACAUGUGCAAAAGUAUUAUAGUCUGGAGUUUUCUGUUCCAGAAAAAAACAGUCAUACAUUUUCCUUUGUUGGGUCUUGUGGAGAGAUCUAUCUCGUAGCUCGUAUUUACGUGGGAUAUUCACUGGACAGAAUUCGAACAUUCGAUGUUUUUAAAUUGGAUAUGUCCACAAUGUUAUGGGUGAAGGUUGAAAGCCUGGGUAAUCACUAAUCAGAUCUUCUUGUUAGGUAGAAGUUGUACAUCACUCUCUGCAGCUGACUUUGGUGUAAAAGGAAAUUGUAUAUAUUUCUUUCUUCCUAAAUAUACAAACUGGUACAGAUUCGACAUGGAUGAUGGAACUAUAACAAGUACCUUUCUUUCUACUCUGAAACUUCCUUAUUGGGGUGGACCUUUUUGGGUGGUUCCAGAUCGCAAACUGCAGGUGAACGACAAAUACAAGUCAAAGACGAUUAUUGGUGAAAAUAAUGUUCCAAAGUUUGGUGAUUCUAAAGGCGAAGUGAAUACAGAGGAAAGGAGUUGGAAGGACCAUCCGAUGGAGAUCUUGGAGUUAAUUGCAGCUUCACUUUGUAAAUGUGAUUGCAUUCGCUUUCAACUUACAUGCAAAACUUUAGUAUCCAUCACUCCACCACUCAGAUCAAACCCUCUGCUUAUACAAUCUAAUCAUGGAGCAAUAAAAUUACCGUGGUUGAUGUCCUUCCCAAAGAUCAACAAGGGUGUAUGCAAUUUCUAUAAUCCAAUUUCCAGCGACGUGUAUGAAAUGGACCUACUUGAAUUAGCAGGUGCAAUUAUACGUGACGCAAACUAUGGGUGGUUGCUAAUGUCUCAAGGGGGGAACUCCAUUUUCUUCUUCAAUCCACUUACGGAGGAAAUCAUCAGACUUCGUGAUCUUGAUAACUGCUACAGUUUUGUAGGCAUCUCUUUCUCGUCUCUACCAACUUCCUCAGACUGUAUAGUAUUAGGAAUCACAUACAUUCACCCAAACUUUCUUGAAAUGGUAAUCUAUUGUAAGGAAGAAGAUACUUGGAGUUCAUACCAACAUACUAACUACAACCAGGUACAAUAUGAGUUCAUGGCUGCUGAUUGUAACCCCAUUUUCUGUGAUGGUGUUUUCUAUUGUUUGAGCAAAAAUGGAAGGUUGGGCAUUUUCGAUCCAAAGGAAACAGAUGAGGAUCAUUGGAGGGUCUUACCAGGAUUAUCGGUUUUUUCAAGUUCGAAGUUAGAUGACUUUCAAACUAACACUAGAGGCUUCCUUGUGGAGUAUGAGGGUGAAAUAUUGUCAGUCUUCGAGGAAUUACUGGGAAAGUCAAUUUCCGUGUAUAAGUUGGAUCGAUUCACAAUGAAAUGGGUCAAACUGGAAAGUUUGGGUGACAAGGUGCUCUUUCUUAGCCCUACUAAAUCUAUACUGAUGCAUGCAGAGUUGAAAGGAUUAGAGAAUAGGAUUUAUUUGCCGAGGUUCGAUGGGGAAAACAACAUGGUUUACCAUUGCUUUGGGAGCAAAAGCUGUCGUGGAUAUUCGAGGAGUACAUGUGAACACGCCUGGAAUUGCACUUGGAUUCAGAUGACUACUUCAGACUGCUCAAAUGGUUUGCGAAUGAAAAUGAAAAGUACAUGAACCAACAUUGAUCAAGUCAUCAAACUCUUAAGAUUGUUCUGUCUAAUUAUGACUUUUGAGUUGUGUGCUCAUAUUUUGCAUUGCAACGAAUUUUCUACUUUCUUCUACUUAUCUUUUUAUUACCGGAUGUCCCAGAAGGGGUCUACUUUCUUAUCAGAGAGCUGCCAUAAUUACUAGGGGUGGGCAAAAAAACCGAAAAACCGAAAACCGAACCGAAAAAACCGAGUCAAAACCGGUCAAAACCGAGUUGACUAAAAACCGGUCAAGACCGGACCGAAACCGAACCGAAUUAUAUAGCUAUUGGUCCGGUCUUGCUUCUUGUUUUUAUAGAACCGAGAGAACCGAACCGAACCGAAAUAAAAAUAAAUCUCAUUUCUAUUCUAUCUCCUACCUUUUCCAUUUCCAUUUCCAUCUUAAUAAGAUUCUUUUUCUUUAUCAAAACUCUCUGUUUCUAUAGAAAAAAGGUGAGAAAUCUUUCAAUCUAAUUUUUCAAGAAAGAUAAAUGAUUCUUGGUAUUUGUCUAACAACCAUUUUCAUAUCAGAGAUCUGUUCUGCACCUACAUUCCAACUAACAGAAGAUCCUGCUUCAUCAAAUUUCUCUGAUUUAGGCCUAAAAUUGGAUUUGGAUUGAGUUUCAUUAUGAACAGAAGACCCAAAGUUGGAUCUACUUCCAAGUUCGGAUCUUGAUUCUCUAUCUGCAUCAUCACCGUUCCCUGAUUCAGUAUCUGAACUUGUAGUACUAUAAUGAUCACCCCAUUCACUACAAUGAACUUCUUCUCUUUCAGUUUCUUCUUCUUCUUCACCAUCAAGAUGAUGAUUGGGUUGUUGAGAAUGUUGAUUUUGUUGUUUGGAUUGUUGAAAAAACUCAGAAUCAGGUGGUGAUGGUGGAUAAAAAUUUUCCCAAUUCCAAGCUGAAGAAGCUUGUGAAGGUGUUCUUUCAAAAGAUGAAGAAAUUGAUGAAAGUGGUGGCAAUUUAGUAAAUCUUUCAUCAUCAUGAGAAGAUUUAUAACGAGGAAUUGGUGUAGAAGAUAAACUUGAUUCAAAUAAAAUAUGUGGAAGUUUAGAACUUCUAAUAGUAGGAGAAGAAGAAGGUGAAGAAGAAGAAAACUGAGGUGGAAGUGGUGGUGGUUUAAGUGAAGGUGAAGUAACAGAAGAAUCAUGAUAAAGGUUUGAUCUUUGAUGAUGAUGUUGUUGUUGUAAUGGAAUUUGAUCAGAAUGAGUUCUAAAAGAAGAAGAAGAAGUAGUAUUAUUAUUGUUAUUAUGAAGCAGAAUAGGUGGAGUUUGAUCAGAAACAGAAAGAGAUUCACCAGAAGAAAAAUCAAGUAAAGCAGAACCAGUUAAACGUAAUGAACUGAUCUCUAAAACUUUUUCUGACAGAUUUGUGUAUUCUUCCAUUUUCAGGAACAAGAAUAGAAUAAGCCCAGUUGUUAACUUGGUUCCAUGGACUAAAGGCCCAAUAAAAAGCCCAGGACCGACUUUCGGACCGAAACCGGACCGAUU